rnacentral:rRNA from 1 species
UUGACGGGGCCCGCACAAGCGGAGAGCAUGUGGUUAAUUCGAUGAUACGCGAGGAACCUUACCUGGGCUCGAACGUAAGAUGACUGUAGGUGAAAGCUUACAUCUCUUCGGAGCAUUUUACGAGGUGCUGCAUGGUUGUCGUCAGCUCGUGCCGUGAGGUGUCGGGUUAAGUCCCAUAACGAGCGCAACCCCUACCUUCAGUUGCCAUCAGGUUAAGCUGGGGACUCUAAAGGAACUGCCUACGCAAGUAGUGAGGAAGCGGGGAUGACGUCAAAUCAGCACGGCCCCUACGUCCAGGGCUACACACGUGCUACAAUGGCCGAUACAGAGGGCAGCUACCUGGUGACAGGAUGCAAAUCUCCAAAGUCGGUCUCAGUUCGGAUCGGAGCCUGCAACCCGACUCCGUGAAGUUGGAUUCGCUAGUAAUCGCGCAUCAGCCAUGGCGCGGUGAAUACGUUCCCGGGCCUU